rfam:Aspergillus oryzae strain BCC7051 OAory_C05, whole genome shotgun sequence.
GGUUGUGUAGUGUAAUGGUUAUCACCCUGGAUUCUGAUUCCAGUAAUCCCGGUUCGAUCCCGGGCACGACCU